GGGGAUUUAGCUCAGUGGUAGAGCGCUUGCCUAGCAAGCACAAGGUGGGUUCAGUCCCCA
rnacentral:tRNA from 1 species